AUGCUGACGAGUGGCGAACGGGUGAGUAAUGCAUCGGAACGUGCCCAGUCGUGGGGGAUAACGCAGCGAAAGCUGUGCUAAUACCGCAUACGAUCUAUGGAUGAAAGCGGGGGAUCGCAAGACCUCGCGCGAUUGGAGCGGCCGAUGUCAGAUUAGCUAGUUGGUGGGGUAAAGGCCCACCAAGGCGACGAUCUGUAGCUGGUCUGAGAGGACGACCAGCCACACUGGGACUGAGACACGGCCCAGACUCCUACGGGAGGCAGCAGUGGGGAAUUUUGGACAAUGGGCGCAAGCCUGAUCCAGCAAUGCCGCGUGCAGGAAGAAGGCCUUCGGGUUGUAAACUGCUUUUGUACGGAACGAAAAGGUCUGGGUUAAUACCCUGGGCUCAUGACGGUACCGUAAGAAUAAGCACCGGCUAACUACGUGCCAGCAGCCGCGGUAAUA
rnacentral:rRNA from 1 species